CUACGGCCAUAUCAUGUUGAAACACCGGUUCCCGUUCGAUGAUGGAAGUUAAACAACAUCAAGCCUAGUCAGUAGCUAGAUCGAUGACAGUGUGCGAAUACCAGGUGAUGUAAGC